GCGUGAAGCGGUGUCUUCUAGGACCCGGAUUGAGGUAAAAUGGCGGGCUCGUGGUGAACGGCUGUCAGGGAUGAAAAUAGGUAUACCUGCAAGAAGAUUUUAAAAUCAGUUUCUCUUCAAAUCAUCUUCUUUCUCACCACCUAAUAAGCAUCUUGAUUCACCAUGGCGUUAGCAGCAGUAAAAUGGGCGAUAUCAAACAGAGCUAUCUGGAAACAUUUAUUUCCAAUUCAAAACGGAGCUUUAUAUUGUGUUUGUCAUAAAUCUACGUAUUCUUCUCUACCAGAUGACUAUAAUUGCAAAGUGGAGCUUGCUUUGACAUCGGAUGGCAGGACAAUAGUAUGCUACCACCCUUCUGUGGACAUUCCAUAUGAACAUACAAAACCUAUACCUCGGCCAGAUCCUGUGCAUAAUAAUGAAGAAACACAUGACCAAGUGCUGAAAACCAGAUUAGAAGAAAAAAAUGAGCAAUUUGAGCAAGGACCCAUGAUAGAACAACUUAGCAAAAUGUUCUUUACUACUAAGCACCGUUGGUAUCCUCGUGGACAGUUUUAUUUAUUUGAGAGAGAGCACAUGAGAGGGGGGAGGGUCAGAGGGAGAAGCACACUCCCUGCCGAGCAGGAAGCCCGAUGUGGGACUCGAUCCAGGGACUCCAGGAUCACGACCUGAGCCGAAGGCAGUUGCUCAACCAACUGAGCCACCCAGGCGCCCAUAUUCACAGCUUCUUGAAGGUAUCAUAGACGUCGUAGGAAACUGGAUCCUCCAAAAGACAGAUGAUACUGAGGUUUUCAGGAAUUAAAAAGAUGUUAUCUUGUGUCUCAUUUGCCAUUUGAGAAAAUGCAAUUGAGUAUAUUUACUAAUAUGUUAUAUAGCAAAAUAAUAAAAUGUCUUCAUGUAUUAGCAUGUAUAUUUCUUUAUAUAAAUUAGGGAAUUGUGGAUUUGACAUUCUUACUUACAGAAACCUACUUCAUCUUACUUUGCUUUUGAGAUAUUAAGAUCUACCAUUUAUUUUUAUGUGUCUAGUGUGAUUAUUUUUACAUUAUCAGCCAAAUAUUGUUAGUAUUAAUAGAAAUAUGCAUGGCUCUCCUUCUCAAGGAGAUUUUUAAAUUGCUUUUGAAAAGAAACUCAUGAGGUCCACCCAGAAAAUAAACGUUACAAUUCUUUCUUGUGGCUUCUAGGAAAUAAUUAAAUUACGGUUGACCCUUGAACAACUCCAGUUUGAAUCGUGUGGGUCCAUUUAUACACAGAUUUUUUUUUUUAAAUAAAUAUAGUCCAGUACUGUAAAUGUAUUUUCUCUUUCUUAUGAUUUUCUUAGUAACAUUUUCUUCUCCCUAGCUUUAUUGUAAGAAUACAAUAUAAAAUACAUAUAACAUGUAAAAUAUAUGUUAACUGACUAUGUUAUUAGUAAGGCUACCAGUCAACAGUAGGCCAUUAGUAAUUAAGUUUUGGGGGAGUCAAAGUUAUAGAUGGACUUUUGACUGCAUGGCAGGUUGGUAUCUCUAACUCCCUUGUUGAUCAAGGGUCAACUGUAGGUACAUUUUAAUUAGUUCCGUCUGCUGGGUCCUUUAUAUACAUCAUUAUUAAAUUCUCACAAUAAUCCUUUAAAGAUAGAGCAUCAUCCCCAUUUUAUGGGUAGGGCCAAGUGACUUGAACCCUAUCUACUUAGCAAGUGGGAGAGCCAAAAAUCCAAAUGGUCAGGCCCCAAAGCUUUUUUACAGUGCAUUACAGUGACAAAGGGGUAUUCUCUUUCACCCAAGAAUAUACUUUCCUAGAAAGAAAGUACAUUUUGCUUACAAAUUAUAAAUUUGUUUUGAGAUUUUUUUUUUACUGGCUCUUUAAAAAAUUAUGCUAGCUUCAGAACACAUGCAGCUCUGGUUAAAAUGUUAAUAUCACUAAACUAGUGUUAUGAGAACGUUAAUAGAUUAUUCUGCUGUUGAUUGUCACUACCACUUUAUAUGUGAUCCUUGAUGGCAUUACUGCCCCUGUGAUUUCUAUUUAGGAGGUGAGGAAUCUCUUAAGAAGGUGGAGAAAUGUUUUAUUCAAACUUGUAAAAUAUUUGUGGUAUUUUAAAAUUUGAUGUGAAAGAUGAUUUCAGUGAAGGGAAAUUGAAAUGAAAUUCACUGAAAUGAAACUUCAUUUAAAGUCUGUUGUUGAAUCUAGUUCUUUUAAUAAAGGAACUCUAGCUGAAGGUUUUUUAGUAGAAUCUAUGGAAUAAUAAAUAGGGAAGAGUAAGGGAAAUAAUUAAUAAUGGCCACCCUCUGUUAUCAAAACGAAAUGUCUUUUAGUGGCUUACUUUUUCAUUAAUAUAUUGGGGGGGAAAGAUUAAAGAAAAACAAGUUGAUAGAACUUAGUAAUCAGAAAGUUUUACCAGACAUGUUUAAUGACAUUGAAAAAUGGUUAAAUUUUUUUCAGGUUGAUUUAUAUCCUAAUUUUUAUAAAGAUUAAGAUAUGCCACAUUUUAAAAGUAGGGAGAAUAAAGAAUUGAAUUAAAUAAAAAAUUUUUUUCUAAGUACAAAGAUGAACUAAAUGGAGAUUGUUCAACUGUAGGAUUCUUAAACCACACAUCCGCAUGUCAAAGCUUUGGAGAAUUAACUUCAAUCUUACUGUAUUAGAAAUACAGAUCAAUACUGUAGUUGCUGGAAUUUUGGUUUUCAUGGAUUGCUGUUAUUUAGUUUUGCUAAGUAAGUACAUAUUCUAUCACCACCAUCACCUCCUUUCUGCUCCUUCCAUUCCCUACUACCCCAGGGGUACUUAUCUGCUAUCACUAACAUUUUAUUAAAUGUCCACUUUUUUGUCUCCUUUUUCCCUGAAACUUAAAAACUACAUAAGGUGGGACGGUCCUUUAAAUGGAAUUAAUUUAGCUUCAUGAAAAAUUCACUACCCAGUUUUUUUUUUUUAACUACCCAGUUCUCAUGUGUCCAUUGGUGAGGUGGAUCAACAGGUUAGGCUGAUAAAAAGCACUAUCAGUGAAACCACCAGAGGGCACUCUCACAUAGUGUUCAAUUCAAACGUUGCUCACCCAAAGGUAGUAACUUAAAGUGCUUAAUUACCAAAGAAUAUUUGGAUGUUCUUUAGGUAAGAAUGACUAGUAGAAAAAAUGGCAGUAGUGAACUCAUUAUUUAUUCUGUUGAUCUAGUUGUAAAGCAUUUACCAAACCCGUAAAACAUACGAAGAGGCAUUAUACUUUUUGCUAACCCAAUAGCAAAAAAAUGGUCCCUUCUAAGGAUGAUUGUGUCUACUUUACUAGGAUCUACUGAGGUACUUAAUUUUUAUAAUGAUUUUUCUUAACCAUGAACAUAAUGCAUUAUUUUUUAAUUAAAAAAUAGAUAAAUAGAAAAUAGAAAUUACCCAUAAUUGUCCCUUGUAAAGAUAACACUAAAAUUUUUGCUUUCCUUCUUCCAUUUUACUUCACUGCAUAACUAUAUUUCAGAAAAUAAAAGUAGUAUUAAUUAUGCAUGCUAUUUUAUAACUUGCUUUUUUUCAUUUAAUAUAAUUGAUUUUUUUGCCAUAUCAUUAAAUACUCUCAUGUAACAAAUGCAUAGUAUUGUAUAAUCUGAUUGUUAUAAUUAAUUCCCUACUUUUAGACAUAAUCAUUUUUUCUGUUUGUCCCCUAUUAUAAAUAAUGCUGUUAUUAACAUCCUGCUGGAUACUUUUCCUUUUUUCUAAGAGACUUUAUUUUUAGGGGCACCUGAAUGGUGCAGUUGGUUAAAUGUCUGACUUGCUUUCAGCUCAGGUCAUAAUCUCAGGGUCUGUGCUCAGUGCAGAUUCUCUCCCUCUCCUUCUGCCCGCCCCCCCCCAAACAAAUACAUCUUAAAAAAAAAAAAAGUAAAAGACUUUAUUUUUUAGAACAGUUUUAGGUUCACAGCAAAAUUAAAUGGAAGGUACAGAUAUUUCCCAUAUCCCCACACAUGCAUAGCUUCCCCCUUAUCAAUAUCACCCACCAGGAUAAUACAUUCGUUACAGUUGAUGUACCUAUAUUGACACAUCAUCACCCAGAGUUCAUAGUUCACAUUAGGGUUCACUCUUGGUGUUGUGCAUUCUUUGGGUUUUGACAAAUACAGAAUGGCAUAUGUCUACCAUUACAGUAUCUAUAGCAUAGUUUCAUUGCCUUAAAAACCCCUAAAACUGGUGUCUGCCUAUUCAUUUUCUUUUCCUUCCUAAUUCCAGAUCAGAGGUUUCUGAUCUUUCUUGUCUUCAUAGUUUUGCCUUUUCCAUAAUGUUAUAUGUUAGAAUCAUACAGAAUGUAGCAUUUUUAGAUUGGUUUCUUUCACUUACUAGUAUGUCUUUUCAUAUCUUGAUAGCUAAUUUCUUUUUAGUGCUGAAAAAUAUUCCAUUGUCUGGAUAUACCACACUUUAUCCAUUCACCUACUGAAGGGUAUAUAUUCAUAUAUUGAAGGGUAUAUUGGUUCCUCCCAAAUUUGGGAAUUGUAAAUAAAGCUGCUAUAAACAUCUGUGCACAGGUAUGUGGACAUAAGUUUUCAGCUCCUUUGAGUAAAUGCCAAGGAGCAUGAUUACUGGAUUGUAAGGUAAGAAUAUGUUUAGUUUUGUAAGAAACUGCCCAGGUUGCUUCCAAAAUGGCUGGAGCAUUCUACAUUCCCUCCAACAGUGAAUAAGAGUUUCCAUUGCUCCAUAUCUUCACCAGCAUUUGGUGAUGUCAGUGUUUUUAGAUGUUGGCCAUUCUAAUAGGUGUGUAGUGGUAUCUUAAUUGUUUUAAUUUGCAUUUCUUUGAUAUAUUGCCUGUAGAGCAUCUUUUCAUAUGCUUAUUUGCCAUCUGUAUAUCUUCUUUGGUGAAGUGUCUGUUGUUAAGGUCUUUGGUCCAUUUUUUAAUUGGGUUAGUUGUUUUCUUAUUGUUGAGUUUUAAGAGUCUUUUUGUAUAUUUUAUAUAUCAGUCUUUUAUUAGAUAGGUGUCUUACAUAUAUUUUCUCCCACUCUGUGGCUUGCCUUUUCAUUCUCUUCACAGUGUCUUUUCACAGAGAAGAAAUUUUUAAUUUUCCUUAAGUCUAGUUUAUCAGUUUUUUCUUUCACGGAUCAUGCCUUUGAUAUUGUAUCUAAAAAGUUAUCACCAAACCCAAGAUCAUCUAAAUUUUCUCCUAUGUUCUGAAAGUUUUAUAUUUUAUAGUUUUGCAUUUUACAUUUAGGUCUGUGAUCUUUGUGUGUGUGUGUGGUCCAUUUUGAGUUAAUUUUUAGGAAGGAUAUAAGGUCUGUGCCUAGAUUCUUUUUUUUUGCACGUGGAUGUGUGGUUGUUCCAGCUCCAUUUGUUGAAAAGACUGUCUUUGCUUCAUUGUAUUGCAUUUACUCCUUCAUCAAAAAUACAUUGACUAUUUUUGUGUGGCUCUAUUUUUUAGGCUCCCCUGUUCUAUUCUUUUGAAAUAUUUUGUCUAUUAGUUCAGUAGUACCACAAUCUCUUGAAAAUUGUAGCUUUAUAGUAAGAGUUGAAAUAAGAUAGUGUCAGUCUUCUUCAAUACUGGAGGAUUAUAUUAAUUGAUUUUUGAAAGUUGAACAAGCCUUACAUACCUGGCAUAAAUCCCAUUUGAUCAUGGUGCAUAAUUCUCUUUUAUACUUUUUUUAAAUUUGAUUUGCUAAUACUUUGUUGAGGAUUUUUGCAUCUAUAUUCAUUUUACUUAGGUAUUGGCUUGUAGUUUUCUCUUCUGGUAAUGUCUUUGGUUUUGGUAUUAGGGUAAUGUUGGCCUCAUGAAAUGAGUUAGGAAGUAUUCCCUCUGCUCUGUGUUCUGUAAAAGAUAGUAGAGAAUUGGUAUUAUUGCUCCCUUAAAUGUUUGGUAGAAUUCACAUCUGGGCUUGGUGCUUUAUGUUCUGUGGAAGGUUAUUACUGAUACAAUUUCCUUAUUUAUUUAUUUAUUUAUUUAUUUAUUUAUUUAUUUAUUUAUUUAUUGACUGACUGACUGACUGACUGACUGACUUUAUUUGACAGAGAGAGAGAGCGCGCAAGCACAAGCAGGGGGAGCGGCAGGCAGAGGGAGAAGGAUCCUGAUGCAGGCUAGCAAAGAGCCUGAUGUGGGACCCUGGGAUCAUGACCUGAGCCAAAGGCAGAUGCUUAACUGACUAAACCACCCAGUUGUCCCAAUGCAAUUUCUUUAAUAGAUACAGGCUUAUUUAAGUAGUCUAUAUCUUGUGUGAAUUUUGCCAGAUUGUGUCUUUCAUAGAAUUGGUCCACUUCAUCUAAAUUAUCUGUGGUAUAGAGUUAUCCAUGGGAAUUGUAGUAUCAGCAAUUUGUGUCUCUUUUUUUCUUAGCCUGGCUAGUGGCUUAUUAUUUUUUAUUUAUCUUUACAAAGAACCAGCUUUCGGUUUUAUCAAUUUUUUCUGUUGAUUUCCUGUUUUCAUUUUCAUUGAUUUCUACUCUAAUUCUUAUUAUUUCUUUUUUUCUGCUUACUUUGGAUUUAAUUUGCUCUUCUUUUUCUAGUUCCCUAAGGUGGAAACUUAGAUGGUUAAUUUUAGAUAUUUCUCUGGAUCUAACCCAUAUAGUCGCCUGGGUGGCUCAGAUGGUUAUGCGUCUGCCUUCGGCUCAGGUCAUGAUCCCAGGGUCUUGGGAUUCAGCCCCACAUCGGGCUCCUGACUCCGCGGGGAGUCUGCUGCUUCUCCCUCUGCCUCUCCCACUGCUCAUGCUCUCUCUCUCUCUGUAUCUCUGUGUCUCAAAUGAAUAAAUAAAACCUUUAAAAAAAAAAAAUCUUCCCUUUAAGCAUGGCUUGCACUGCAUCCCACAAAUUUUGAUAAGUUUUAUUUUAUUUUCAUUUAGUGCAAAAUACUGUUUAAUUUCUCUUGAUAUUUCUUCUUUGACUCGUGUUAUUUAGCAGUGUGUUAUUUAAUCUUCAGGUAUUUGGGAUUUUCCAGCUGUCUUUCUGUAAAUGAUUUCUAGUUUAAUCCCAUUGUGGUCUGAGAGCAGACAUUGUGUGAUUUCUAUUUUAAGUUUGGUAAGUUGUCUUAUAUGGCCAGGAAUGUGGUCUAUAUUAGUGAAUGUUCCAUGUGAACUUGAGAAGAAUAUAUAUUCUACUGUUGUUGGUUGAGGUAAUCUCUAGAUGUCCGUUAUAUCUAGUUGACUGAUGGUGUUGUUGAGUUUAGCUAUGUCCUUACUGAUUUCCUGCCUGCUGGAUCUGUCCAUUUCUGAUAGAGCGGAUUAAAGUUUGCAAUUACAGUACUGCAUUCAUCUAUUUCUCCUUGCAGUUUUAUCAGUUUUUGCCUCACAUAUUUUGACAUUCUGUUGUUAGGUGCAUACACAUUAACGGUUGUUAUGUCUUCUAGAAAAAUUACCCUUUUAUCAUUAUGUAAUGCCCUUCUUUUCCCUGAUAGGGUUCCUUGCUCUGAAGCUUGCUCUGUCUGAAAUUAAUAUAGCUACUCCUGCUUUCUUUUGAGUAGUAUUAGUAUAGUAUAUCUUUCUCUCUCUCCCUUUACUUAUUUUUAAAAAGAUUUUAUUUAUUUAUUUUGACAGAUAGCGAGUGAGGGAACACAAGCAGGGGGAGUGGGAGAGGGAGAAGCAGGCUUCCCCCUGAUCAGAGAGUCCGAUGUGGGGCUCUAUCCCAGGACCCUGGGAUCAUGACCUGAGCCGAAGGCAGAUGCUUAACGACUGAGCCACCCAGGUGCCCCUCUCUCUCCCUUUAUUUUUAAUCUAUGUGUGUUUUUCCAUUUUAAGUGGGUUUCUUACAGACAACAAAGAAUUAAGUCUUGUUUUUAAUCUACUCUAACAAUCUCUGUCUUCUAAUUGAUGCAUUGGGACCAUUGACAUUCAAAGUGAUUAUUGAUAUAGUUGGGUUAUUAUCCACUAUAUUUGCUACUGUUUUCUGUUUGUUGCCCUUGUUCUUUGUUUCUAUUUUUGUGUUUUACUCUUUUUCUGCCUUUUGUGGUUUUGAUUAUAUGAUUCUGUUUCCUCUCCUUUCUUAGCACAUCUGUUAUUCUUUUUUUUUUUUUUUUCCUUAAGGCCUUCCCUACAUGCCAGGCCCUGUUGUAAUACACUUAUUUUUUUUUAAUCUUUUUUAGUGGUUGCCCUAGAGUGGUUGCAUAUAUACAUUUGCAACUAAGCCAAGUCCACUUUCAAGUAACACUAUAUUGUAUCAUGGGCAGUACAAGUACUUUAUAAUAACAAAAUAAUCCUAAUUCCUCCCUCCUGUCUCUUGUAUCAUUCCUGUCAUUCAUUUCUCAUACAUAAGCAUAUAUACAUAUAAUCAGAUACACUGCUGCUAUUUUUUAAAAAUAAUUUUUUAUUUUUAAGUAAUCUCUACACCCAACAUGGGGCUCGAACUCACAAUGCCAAGAUCAAGAAUUGCAGGCUCCACCAACUGAGCAGCCCAGUGCCCCUGUUGCUAUUUUUUAAACAAACUGUUAAUGUUAGAUCAGUGAAGAAUAAGAAAAGUUAAAGUUUGUGUUUUACCUGCACUUGUUUCUUCUUCAUUGCUUUUUCUCUGUGUAGAUCUGAGUUUCUGACCUGUAUCAUUUUCUUUUCCUCUAAAGAACUACUUUUAAUAUUUUUUUGCAAGACAGGUCUAGUGACAACAAAUUCUUUAAAUUUUUGUUUGAGAAAGUUUUUAUUUCUCCCUCACUUUUGAAGGAUAAUAUUGCAGGGUAGAGAAUUCUAGGUUGGUAGGGUUUUUUUUGCUCUCAAUGCUUUAAAUAUUUCUUUCCAUUCUCUUCUUGCCCCCAUGGUAUCUGAAGGAAGUUAGAUAUAGUUCUUAACUCCAGAGCACUUAAUCAAAGUUUUUAAUUAAGCAUUUGUGUGUGUAUGAUUAUUUGAUAAAUAUCCAUCUUAUCUACUGGACUGUAAACUCUAACUUGCAAGGUCCCUGACUGGCUAUGUAUACCACUGUGUCCCCAGUGCUUAAUAUGGGCUGGUACAUUCAUUGUACCACAGACAUAUGAUUUUAUAAAAGAAUUGCUAUAAUGCAGAGGAUUAAAGCCCUCUCAUUUCAUGAAUGGGAUUAGGGGUUGCGGGGUAUCUAUGAAACUCCUGAAGUUGUGUAGAAUUUUUGAGAAUAUGUAUCUUGUGUGUUUUCCUGGGAAUAGAAUCUGUGGUUUUUCAGUUCAUUAAAGGCUAUUUCAAAAUA